GAUGAACGCUGGCGGCGUGCCUAAUACAUGCAAGUCGAGCGAACAGACGAGGAGCUUGCUCCUCUGACGUUAGCGGCGGACGGGUGAGUAACACGUGGAUAACCUACCUAUAAGACUGGGAUAACUCCGGGAAACCGGAGCUAAUACCGGAUAAUAUAUUGAACCGCAUGGUUCAAUAGUGAAAGACGGUUUUGCUGUCACUUAUAGAUGGAUCCGCGCCGCAUUAGCUAGUUGGUAAGGUAACGGCUUACCAAGGCAACGAUGCGUAGCCGACCUGAGAGGGUGAUCGGCCACACUGGGACUGAGACACGGUCCAGACUCCUACGGGAGGCAGCAGUAGGGAAUCUUCCGCAAAGGGCGAAAGCCUGACGGAGCAACGCCGCGUGAGUGAUGAAGGUCUUCGGAUCGUAAAACUCUGUUAUUUGGGAAGAACAAAUGUGUAAGUAACUAUGCACGUCUUGACGGUACCUAAUCAGAAAGCCACGGCUAACUACGUG
rnacentral:rRNA from 1 species